UACGGAGGGAGCUAGCGUUGUUCGGAUAUACUGGGCGUAAAGCGCACGUAGGCGGCGCCGUAAGUCAGGGGUGAAAUCCCGGAGCUCAACUCCGGAAUUGCCCUUGAAACUGCAGUGCUAGAAUUCUGGAGAGGCGAGUGGAAUUCCGAGUGUAGAGGUGAAAUUCGUAGAUAUUCGGAAGAACACCAGUGGCGAAGGCGACUCGCUGGACAGACAUUGACGCUGAGGUGCGAAAGCGUGGGGAGCAAACAGG
rnacentral:rRNA from 1 species